rnacentral:rRNA from 1 species
AUACGUAGGGGGCGAGCGUUGUCCGGAAUGACUGGGCGUAAAGGGCGUGUAGGCGGCCGAUUAAGUCUGGAGUGAAAGUCCUGCUUUCAAGGUGGGAAUUGCUUUGGAGACUGGUUGGCUUGAGUGCGGAAGAGGUAAGUGGAAUUCCCAGUGUAGCGGUGAAAUGCGUAGAGAUUGGGAGGAACACCAGUGGCGAAGGCGACUUACUGGGCCGUAACUGACGCUGAGGCGCGAAAGCGUGGGGAGCGAACAGGAUUAGAUACCCUGGUAGUCCACGCGGUAACCGAUGAAUGCUAGGUGUAGCGGGUAUCGACCCCUGCUGUGCCGCAGUAAACACAAUAAGCAUUCCGCCUGGGGAGUACGGCCGCAAGGUUGAAACUUAAAGGAAUUGACGGGG